GACGAACGCUGGCGGCGUGCUUAACACAUGCAAGUCGAGCGGUAAGGCCUUUCGGGGUACACGAGCGGCGAACGGGUGAGUAACACGUGGGUGAUCUGCCCUGCACUUCGGGAUAAGCCUGGGAAAUUGGGUCUAAUACCGGAUAUGACCUCCUAUCGCAUGGUGGGUGGUGGAAAGAUUUAUCGGUGCAGGAUGGGCCCGCGGCCUAUCAGCUUGUUGGUGGGGUAAUGGCCUACCAAGGCGACGACGGGUAGCCGACCUGAGAGGGUGACCGGCCACACUGGGACUGAGACACGGCCCAGACUCCUACGGGAGGCAGCAGUGGGGAAUAUUGCACAAUGGGCGAAAGCCUGAUGCAGCGACGCCGCGUGAGGGAUGACGGCCUUCGGGUUGUAAACCUCUUUCAGCAGGGACGAAGCGCAAGUGACGGUACCUGCAGAAGAAGCACCGGCUAACUACGUG
rnacentral:rRNA from 1 species